rnacentral:rRNA from 1 species
CGAACGAAGCGGCAACAGCCCAAAUUUGAAAUCUGGCGUAAGCCCGAGUUGUAAUUUGGAGGUAGACUAUUUGGGUGUCUGUGUCAACUAAGUGCCUUGGAAUAGGCCGCCGUAGAGGGUGAGAGCCCCGUGAGUUGACUAGCAGUUAUUCAGUUUGUCUUCCGACGAGUCGAGUUGUUUGGGAUUGCAGCUCUAAGUGGGUGGUAUAUUCCAUCUAAGGCUAAAUAAUAGCGAGAGACCGAUAGCAAACAAGUACAGUGAUGGAAAGAUGAAAAGAACUUUGAAAAGAGAGUGAAAUAGUACGUGAAAUUGUUGAAAGGGAAGGGUAUCUGAUCCGACGUGGUAUUUAGAUGUCGCCUGCCCUUGUGGCGGGUGCUCCAUUUUUUUACUGGGCCAGCGUGAGUUAGAAGGGGAUGAAAAGGCGGGAACGAAUGUAGCCUUCCUCCCUUUGGGAGAGGGGUGUUAUAACAUUCCUGUUUAGUUCCUUUCUG